UACAGAGGGUGCGAGCGUUGUCCGGAAUCACUGGGCGUAAAGGGCGCGUAGGCGGCCCGGUAAGGUUGCGGUGAAAGCCCGGGGCUCAACCCGGGUCGGCCGUGGCAACUGCUGGGCUGGAGCACAGUAGAGGCGGGUGGAAUUCCGGGUGUAGCGGUGGAAUGCGUAGAGAUCCGGAAGAACACCGGUGGCGAAGGCGGCCCGCUGGGCUGUUGCUGACGCUGAGGCGCGACAGCGUGGGGAGCAACAGGAU
rnacentral:rRNA from 1 species